rnacentral:miRNA from 14 species
GCCCACCGUCCUGCUUUGCCUGGGACUGAGACGUUUGCAUGGAUGCUGGACUUUCAAUGCCAAAGCCGGGCAGUU